GCCUCGGUGGUCUAAAGGCUUAAGACGCUCGCGCGGUAUGCAAGAGAUCCGGGUUCAAGUCCCGGCCGAGGUA
rfam:Trachymyrmex cornetzi contig33521, whole genome shotgun sequence.